rnacentral:rRNA from 1 species
GACGAACGCUGGCGGCGUGCUUAACACAUGCAAGUCGAACGGAAAGGCCCUGCUUUUGUGGGGUGCUCGAGUGGCGAACGGGUGAGUAACACGUGAGUAACCUGCCCUUGACUUUGGGAUAACUUCAGGAAACUGGGGCUAAUACCGGAUAGGAGCUCCUGCUGCAUGGUGGGGGUUGGAAAGUUUCGGCGGUUGGGGAUGGACUCGCGGCUUAUCAGCUUGUUGGUGGGGUAGUGGCUUACCAAGGCUUUGACGGGUAGCCGGCCUGAGAGGGUGACCGGCCAAAUUGGGACUGAGCUGCGGCCCAGACUCCUAUGGGACGCAGCAGUGGGGAAUAUUGCACAAUGGGCGGAAGCAUGAUGCGGCAACGCCGCGUGCGGGAUGACGGCCUUCGGGUUGUAAACCGCUUUCGCCUGUGACGAAGCGUGAGUGACGGUAAUGGGUAAAGAAGCACCGGCUAACUACGUG